rnacentral:rRNA from 1 species
CCCUUUGUGAACAUACCUAUAACUGUUGCUUCGGCGGGUAGGGUCUCCGCGACCCUCCCGGCCUCCCGCCUCCGGGCGGGUCGGCGCCCGCCGGAGGAUAACCAAACUCUGAUUUAACGACGUUUCUUCUGAGUGGUACAAGCAAAUAAUCAAAACUUUUAACAACGGAUCUCUUGGUUCUGGCAUCGAUGAAGAACGCAGCGAAAUGCGAUAAGUAAUGUGAAUUGCAGAAUUCAGUGAAUCAUCGAAUCUUUGAACGCACAUUGCGCCCGCCAGCAUUCUGGCGGGCAUGCCUGUUCGAGCGUCAUUUCAACCCUCAAGCUCUGCUUGGUGUUGGGGCCCUACAGCCGAUGUAGGCCCUCAAAGGUAGUGGCGGACCCUCCCGGAGCCUCCUUUGCGUAGUAACUUUACGUCUCGCACUGGGAUCCGGAGGGACUCUUGCCGUAAAACCCCCCAAUUUUCCAAAGGUUGACCUCGGAUCAGGUAGGAAUACCCGCUGAACUUAAGCAUAUCAAAG